rnacentral:lncRNA from 1 species
UAGUUAACCAUAGAUAAAAUACUUAACCUCGGUUAGUGAGCGAGGUAAAUUAACUUUUUUGCCCCUAUGAUAUUAUACCUUCUUCUCUUAAUCAAAAUCCUAUUUCGAUCAAAAGCUUAACAAUGAAAACUCUUCUUCCUCUUCCUCUCCCUCUCCCUCCUUCAUGUUUGUUUCAAACUCAUCGUAACUAGGGUUUUUCCGUCUCCAUUUAUCCACGAUGUGUGUUGCUUCGCCUAUUUUGAGCGCCGAAAAAUUAGUAUUAAAGAGGUAAAGGAGAAAAUGAGUGAGAAAAGAGGUAGACAAGAUGUUGUAAUAAUGAUGAAUGUAUUAGUUUUUAUAGAGAAGAAGAUGGCUAUCGAAAAUUUUUUGGAAGGAUAUUUCUACAUGAUUCUAACAAAUAGGACUUUUAGAUGAAAAUAUUUGUGAUGCCAAAAUUAAUUUUUUUUUUGUUAAAAAAUAAAUAGUGAGCUAACGGUAACAAAUAAGAGGGAUGAAUAUAAACAUCACUAGAUUUUUAAAAGGAUAGAUAUGAAAACUUGAAUUUUGUAGAAAUAUAUCUGCUAUUCAAUAUGUUUACAAGCAGUUGUAUGAUUUUAAUUUCCUAAUUAAUUUUAAUAGGUGCAAUCUGUACUGAUCUAUGUUAGUAAAUUCGUGAAUUAUUCGCGAAUUAUUCGCGAAUUUUUGAAAAAAUGAAUUAAACGACCGAAUUCGUAUUUUGUCCAAAAAUUCGAAAAAAAACGCAUUUUUUUGAUGAAAAAGAACGCUUUUUUUUUUUUAUGAAAAACGUGUUUUUUUGAUGAAUAAUUAUUCGCGAAUUAUUUGGAUCCAAAAAAAGCGG